UAAUAAGUUUAAAUAGUAGAUCAGUAAGUUGGCUUUCUCAAGCCAACUUAAUAAUAAUAAGAUUAGAUAGUAGAUCAGUAAGUUGGCUUUUUCAAGCCAACUUAAUAAAGUCAAAUAAUAUAAAUGUGAUUUUUUAUUUACUGAUAUCUGAACCAACUUGUAAAUUCCAUGAAAAUUCAGUCAGAAUAAACUCAAUUGAGUAAUACAGUUGUGAAUUUGUCUGUAUAAAAUACAAUCUGAGCACAUAUCUGCAUUCUUACAAAACAUUAAAAGAUGGAAAUAUCAGUGGAGACUUGUGUAUUGUGGAAGAAUAACUUUUUAUUAAAAAAUAUAUUUACAUUGUUUAUUUUCAAUGGUUUGUUUUAUUGCUAUAAUAUGAUCAUGGAUACGGCAAUGCGGUGGACCAGGACAUGGUUGUAGAGCGGAGCUGGACCUGUACUGUGACCAUGAGGCUCUCAGGCUGUGGCUCUGACAUUGCUGCUCAAUGUGGUCAUUAAAAUAACCAGAUCAUUAGAGCCAUUUGCUCGUGAAUCGGACACUGCUCAUGCUCUAUAUGUUAUUACAUUAUAGCCAGUUUAAGUUAUUGUGAUUAACUAACUUCAUUAAGUGAAGGAUUCAUCAGACUGUUUUACACUGGUAACUCUGAUUGUGUGUGUGUGUGUGUGUGUGUGUUUACUGAUUAAUUGAAAUAGUCAAAUCAUAAGAGUCAUUUGCAUGUGAUUCGAGCUACACUGAUCUGUAUGUUUUUGAAGUAGUUGAUUGCUUUUGAAUCGGACAUAGGUCGCACUGUGUAUGUUAUUUUGUUAUACUAAGGUUAAGUAAUUGUGAUUAACUAGUUGAUUAAAGAUUCAUCAGACUGUUCUAAACUACUAAAUCCUAAGUUUUUUUUUGUUUUGUUUUUUUGAAUGAUUUAAUAACCUGACCUACUUAUUUGCUAGAGAAGGAAACUACUGACUACUGCAAGACAAUAUAUUUUUUUUUUUUUUUUUUUGCCAUUACUUCAUAAUACAUUCAAACUAGAGUUACAUUCUACAAAGUUACAUUCAAAUUAGACUGCAUUCACAACACAUUAAAUAUGACUGUAGAUAAUAAUAUUAUAGGCAAUAAUAUUACUGGUUAUGAAUGGGACCUCAAGAGGGCGUUGGACUUAACAGAGGCUCCUCAAAGACGCCCAUAUUACAGGAACCUCAAGGCAGUAUUACAGCGCCUUAAACCCCCAGUGAGCAAGCCAACGGCAACAGUGACAAGGAAAAACUCCCUACAGAAUUAAAUGUAGGCAGAAACCUUGGGAGGAACCAAGACUCAUCAGGGGGGACCCAUCCUCCUCUGGUCGGCAAAUAUAAAAAUACUGCCUAAUUGAUUUAUAAUAUUUAUGGUUAGAUGAUAAUUAACAAAAUAACCGCCCAAUUCUAAAAUGGCUAUUGAGAACAACUCUUACCUGUAUUUUACAGGACUUACCUGUUUUCAACAACUCUUACCUGUACUUUACAAAUCUUACCUGUAUUCAACAACCCUUACCUUUAGUCUACAAAUCUUACCUUAAGUCUAUAAGUCUUAACUUUUUUCUAUAACUCUUACCUAUAUUCGACAGGACUAAGCUGUACUCUUCCCUUUAUUGUACAGCUCUUACCGUUAGCUUUAGUCUACAACUCUUAACUUCAGUCUACAGCUCUUAAAUUUAGUAUACAACUCUUAAAUGUAUUUCACAAGACCUACUGUACCUAAACUCUUACCUUUAGUCUACACCUGUUAACUUGAGUCUACAACACUUACCUUUAGUCAGCAUCUGUUAAGUUUAGUCUACAUUAAGUCUCCUUACCUUUAGUGUACAACUCUUACCUUUAGUCUACAACUCUUACCUGUACUCUAGAACUUGUACCUUUAGUCUACAACUCUUACCUUUUGUCUAAAACUUUUACCUGUACUUUACAACUCUUAAAUAUAUUUCACAGGACCUACUGUACCUGAACUCUUACCUUUAGUCUACACCUGUUAACUUUAGUCUACAACACUUACCUUUAGUCUACACCUGUUAACUUAAGUCUACAACUCUUACCUUUAGUCGCCAUCUGUUAACUUUAGUCUACAACUCUUACCUUUAGUCGACAUCUGUUAACUUUAGUCUACAACUCUUACCUGUACUUUACAACUCUUAACUUUAGUAUAUAACUCUUGCCUGUAUUCUACAGGACUUACCUGUAUUCUACAACUCUUACCUAUAUUCGACAGGACUUACCUGUAUUCUACAACUCUUAACUUUAGUCUUCAACUCUUACCUGUAUUUCACAGGACCUACCUGAACUCUUACCUUUAGUCUGCACCUGUUAACUUUAGUCUAAAACUCUUACCUUCAGUCUGCACCUGUUAACUUUAGUCUACAACUCUUACCUUUAGUCUACAACUCUUACCUGUACUUUACAACUCUUAAAUUUAGUAUACAACUCUUACCUGUAUUUCACAUGACCUACCUGAACUCUUACCUUUAGUCUUCACCUGCUAUAACUUUAGUCUACAACUCUUACCUGUACAUUACAUAUCUUAACUUUAGUCUAUAACUCUUACUUGUAUUCUACAGGACUUACCUGUACACUUACCUUUAUUCUACAGCUCUUACCUGUAUUUCACAGGACCUACCUGAACUCUUACCUUUAGUCUACAACUCUUACCUGUACUCUUGAACUCUUAAAAAAGUAGGGUGGCCAUAUGUGCCGUUUAUAUGGGACACGUCCUGGCCAGGAUUUUAAUAAUGCCUAAAACAUUCAAAGCAGUUUUACCAAUAACAUGCAGGUAUUGUACAUAAUCGACCAAUCAUAGGGCAGUGCGUGAGAAGAUGAGAUCUACAGGGAAUGAUCAAAGCAAUGCACAUAUGUGCACGUAUUUGUUCGUUCGUUUAACUUGAAGUGUGCCGAUCAAAAAAAGACACCAAAGUAGGUGCAAGAGCGAUUCAAAAGCAUAAGGAGCUGUCUACUCUGCUCUCUAUAGCUCUCAUGAAUGUCAUACAACAUUUGACCUGCAUAGUGCAAACAGCCAAAACCUGGAUAUUUUAGGCAAUAUUAAAAUCCUUGCUGGGACUUGUCCUUUAUGAACGGUGCAUAUGGCCACCCUAACCUUAAGUCUACAACUCUUACCUUUAGUCUACAACUUACCUGUACUCUAGAACUUGUACCUUUAGUCUAAAACGCUUACCUUUAGUCUACAACUCUUACCUGCACUCCAAAACCCGUACCUGUACUCUACAACCCCCCUUAGCAACUGGCCUGAAUAUGACACUGAGAUGGUCCCGUGGUCAUGCAUGGCACUGAAGGGGCCUGGGAUGUGCCAGCUGAACUUAGGGCUGCUUGGGCUUUACCUGUGCACUGAGGGGUACCUGUGGCCGCGGCGCUGAGGGGUGCCUGGACUGACGCAGCAGCGCUGACGGGUGCCUGUACUGCAGCCGCAGUACUGAGGGAUGUCUGGGCUGUGGCGCUGAGGAGGACCUGGGUUGUGGCUCUUGUACUAUGUUUUCUAGCAGAGGCUCAAGGACAGAUAACUGGACUCAGGAACACUUUGCCAGCACUAUAUUGUCAGCAGCCAAGUAAGUUGGCAUAUUUGGAUGGCGGUAAUGAAAGGGACCUUAGGCGCUCAGCCUGUGACAGGGACCUCAGGAAGCUGUGGUCAUGACAGGGGAGACCUCAAGCGGCAUUGGCCAUCACAGGGACCUUAGGGAGUGUUGGCUAAGACAGGGACCUCAGGGAGGCAAUGGCCUUGACAUGGACCUCAGCGAGCAUAGGCUGUUACAGGGACUCCUGGAAGUGACAGCCACCACAGGUAUCUCAGAAGCCAUGGCCAAGUCUGGUACCUCAGGGCCGAACCUUAAGCCUCUUAUAUGACUAAUGGCCUUAUAUUGAGAAAGCUAUGGUUCAGUGCUCGCCAAAUUUGUCCUUUAGCUUGGUUUAGCUAAUUUAAAUGGCUAUUGAGGCCACCUGCCUGCACAACUACAUAUACUCUACAACAUGUGCCUAUACUAUACAACACUUACAUAUACUAUACAACACUAACCUGUACUAUAUUACUCUUAUACUCUACAUCUCUUACCUGUACUACACAACACUUACCUUUACUAUACAACACUAACCUGUACUAUAUUACUCUUACAUAUAUUCUACAUCUCUUACCUGUACUACACAACACUUACCUUUACUAUACAACACUUACCUGUACUUUAUUACUCUUACAUAUACUCUGCAACUCUUACUUGUACUGCACAACACUUAGUUCUCUCAAAACUGAAAACCACUGCUGCAGUGAAAUACUGUACUUUUCCCCUACGACACUUAUCUGCUUUCCGAUGCAAGUAAUUGCUCAUCGUAAACCUUACCAGUGAUGUACGUGACUUUUCAGCAGCACAUCUCUGACUCUGCAGCAACAUUUCUGGAGGAUCC
ensembl:lncRNA